AUGAACGCUAGCUACAGGCUUAACACAUGCAAGUCGAGGGGCAUCAGGAAGAAAGCUUGCUUUCUUUGCUGGCGACCGGCGCACGGGUUUUCAACACGUAUCCAACCUGCCCUUUACUCGGGGAUAGCCUUUCGAAAGAAAGAUUAAUACCCGAUAGCAUAAUGAUUCCGCAUGGUUUCAUUAUUAAGGAUUCCGGUAAAGGAUGGGGAUGCGUUCCAUUAGGUUGUUGGUGAGGUAACGGCCCACCAAGCCUUCGAUGGAUAGGGGUUCUGAGAGGAAGGUCCCCCACAUUGGAACUGAGACACGGUCCAAACUCCUACGGGAGGCAGCAGUGAGGAAUAUUGGUCAAUGGGCGCUAGCCUGAACCAGCCAAGUAGUUCCUUCCUACUUCCCUCUAUGGGUCGUAAACUUCUUUUAUAUAAGAAUAAAGUGCAGUAUGUAUACUGUUUUGUAUGUAUUAUAUGAAUAAGGAUCGGCUAACUCCGUGCCAGCAGCCGCGGUAAUACGGAGGAUCCGAGCGUUAUCCGGAUUUAUUGGGUUUAAAGGGAGCGUAGGUGGACUGGUAAGUCAGUUGUGAAAGUUUGCGGCUCAACCGUAAAAUUGCAGUUGAUACUGUCAGUCUUGAGUACAGUAUUCCACCCGCCUUUUCGUGGUGUAGCGGUGAAAUGCUUAGAUAUCACGAAGAACUCCGAUUGCGAAGGCAGCUCACUGGACUGCACUGACACUGAUGCUCGAAAGUGUGGGUAUCAAACAGGAUUAGAUACCCUGGUAGUCCACACAGUAAACGAUGAAUACUCGCUGUUUGCGAUAUACAGUAAGCGGCCAAGCGAAAGCAUUAAGUAUUCCACCUGGGGAGUACGCCGGCAACGGUGAAACUCAAAGGAAUUGACGGGGGCCCGCACAAGCGGAGGAACAUGUGGUUUAUAAAUAAUAUGGGGAGGAACCUUACCCGGGCUUAAAUUGCAGUGGAAUGAUGUGGAAACAUGUCAGUGAGCAAUCACCGCUGUGAAGGUGCUGCAUGGUUGUCGUCAGCUCGUGCCGUGAGGUGUCGGCUUAAGUGCCAUAACGAGCGCAACCCUUAUCUUUAGUUACUAACAGGUUAUGCUGAGGACUCUAGAGAGACUGCCGUCGUAAGAUGUGAGGAAGGUGGGGAUGACGUCAAAUCAGCACGGCCCUUACGUCCGGGGCUACACACGUGUUACAAUGGGGGGUACAGAAGGCAGCUAGCGGGUGACCGUAUGCUAAUCCCAAAAUCCUCUCUCAGUUCGGAUCGAAGUCUGCAACCCGACUUCGUGAAGCUGGAUUCGCUAGUAAUCGCGCAUCAGCCACGGCGCGGUGAAUACGUUCCCGGGCCUUCAUUUGUGGCGGGCAGUUUCGG
rnacentral:rRNA from 1 species